GCGAGAUUAACUCAGUGGGAGAGUGUUUGCUUGACGUGCAAAAAGUCGUGGGUUCGAAUCCCUCAUCUCGCA
rnacentral:tRNA from 1 species